AGUAAUAUAUCGGAACGUGCCCAGUAGUGGGGGAUAGCACGGCGAAAGCCGGAUUAAUACCGCAUGAGACCUGAGGGUGAAAGCGGGGGACUCGCAAGAGCCUCGCGCUAUUGGAGCGGCCGAUAUCAGAUUAGCUAGUUGGUGGGGUAAAGGCCUACCAAGGCGACGAUCUGUAGCUGGUCUGAGAGGACGACCAGCCACACUGGGACUGAGACACGGCCCAG
rnacentral:rRNA from 1 species